UUCUUUCCUUCUCCUUCCCGGUGGCGGCGGCGGCGACGGCGGUGGCCGCCGGCUCAUCCCGUAAGCCUUGGGUGUAGAGCGCUGCAACGAGGAGGAGGGGCGGCGGCGGCCCCAGCCAGUCGCUUUAGCGGCGACACCGCCGCCAGCCCGGCGCCAUUACCGGCCAACGACUGACACACAGGCAGGGGGGAGGAAGGCGGGGGAGAGAGUGGGAAGGGACGAGGGCAGCGGCGCGCGGCAGGGCGGGAGCCGCCCCGGGAAGCCUCGCGAUACAGGCCGAAGGGCUAGACCUUCUCAAUAUGGCGCACAUAAGUCCCGCCUUUUUCCUCCCUCCAUUUCGCGGAUCGGACAUGUUGAGUGUGGUCAAACUGUAGACUCCGCCUACCCCGCUAGCUGCCUCAAACGCUGAGAAGGCUAGUAUACUCCCCAGAAGAGAUCUCUGAAAGCUAUAGAGUGCCCAAAGAUGAAUAGACUUUUGUCCCUACCAUGGGUCAGCUGGUCAUAAUAGAACAUCCAUUCUGAGGUGUGAUGGACUGCAUAAGGAUGCCGUUGCAUUUCUUUCGGCGUAUUUGAUUGUUUUCUCAAGCAAUUGGCUUUCCCACAUCUGUAAUUCAAAUGUAAAACCUAGAAUGUACAUGUUGCAUAUUAAAAUGGUUAUCUUCCACUGUC